rnacentral:tRNA from 1 species
GAUGAAAUAGCUCAGUGGCAGAGCGCAGCCUUAAAAGCUGAGGUCGCAGGUUCGAUUCCUGUUUUCAUCA